CCUACGGGCGGCAGCAGUGGGGGAUAUUGCACAAUGGGGGGAACACUGAUGCAGCGACGCCGCGUGGGUGAAGAAGCGCCUCGGCGCGUAAAGCCCUGUCAGCAGGGAAGAAAAUGACGGUACCUGACGAAGAAGCCCCGUCUCAAUACGUGCCAGCAGCCGCGGUAAUACGUAGGGGGCAAGCGUUAUCCGGAUUUACUGGGUGUAAAGGGGGCGCAGACGGCGGUGCAAGCCAGGAGGUAAAGCCCGGGGGCCAACCCCGGGACUGCUCUUGGAACUGCGUGGCUGGAGUGCAGGAGGGGCAGGCGGAAUUCCUGGUGUAGCGGUGAAAUGCGUAGAUAUCAGGAGGAACACCGGUGGCGAAGGCGGCCUGCUGGACUGCAACUGACGUUGAGGCCCGAAAGCGUGGGGAGCAAACAGGAUUAGAUACCCUUGUAGUC
rnacentral:rRNA from 1 species